rnacentral:rRNA from 1 species
AAGGUCUUUUUGAUUGUAAAGUUCUUUUAUGAGGGAUAACAACUGAUAGUACCUCAUGAAUAAGUGACAGCAAACUAUGUGCCAGCAGCUGCGGUAAUACAUAGGUCGCAAGCAUUAUUCGGAUUUAUUGGGCGUAAAGCAAGCGCAGGCGGAUGUGUAAGUUCUGUGUUAAAAGUAGCUACUUAAUAGUUGUUUGCACCGAAUACUACAUGUCUAGAAUGUGGUAGGAAGUUUUGGAAUUAAACAUGGAGCGGUGGAAUGUGUAGAUAUGUUUAAGAACACCGGAGGCGAAGGCGAAAACUUAGGCCAUAAUUGACGCUUAGGCUUGAAAGUGUGGGGAGCAAAUGGGAUUAGAUACCCCAGUAGUCCACACCGUAAACGAUGGGUAUUAGGU